ensembl:lncRNA
UUUCAGAAUGUUUUACUUAUCCACAGACUUUUGGAGAAUGUUUAAAGUUUUUAUUAAAAAAACACUUUCAAAGAAACUGCAAUAACUAUCUCCUUGAAUUUUCUAUAAAAUGAGAUAACAGGGGAUCAUUUCCCCCAACUUUCAGAAAUAUUCAUACAUCUACUGAUUUUAAGGAUUUUAAAAAUGUUUUGAUAAAAAUGUUUUUAAAAAAGCCACAACAGCUAUCCCAUUGAAUGUCUCUCAUAUUAACCAAUAGAAACCAAAAUUAACCAAUUCUACAUUUUCAUAGAAUCCUAGAGUUGGAUCCCUAGGAGCCAUCUAAUACAACCCCUUUCUUCCAGGCAGAAGGACACCAUCAAAACUCUACUGGCAGAUGGCCAUCAAGCUUCUAAACGAAUAUGCUUCCCCUAUAAUAUGGGGGCCAGCCCAGCAAAGUAUCUGUCAGUCCUCCUCUUUGCAGAUUCAACCAUUCAUUGGAAAUCUUGCUGGCUGCUGUUAAGGAGGGACAAAUCUCUCCCACUGCUACCCUGAUUGGUGCUUUCUGAUACUGAUGCAUUUAGGGAAAUGAAGUUUAAGGCAGGGCCUUUUGAAUUCUUUGGCAUAGAGCUCCUCCCUUCUCCAAUUACAUUUUACAGAGUUUUGUGCUGUUCCCAGAAAGCACUGCUCCCUUUUUUCCUGCUCCUAAUAUUGAGACUCCAUUAAUUUAGAGAAAAGGCAAGGCAUUCAGGCGGCCUUGUUGAUUUUGCUUUGCUUCCUUGUGCUGGAAAGGAAACUGACUUUGGGAUCCUUCCAAGAUUGAUGAAAAAGUAUGGGGAGGCUUCUCUCAUGUCCCCACAUGGAGCUGGAGCUGGAGCUCAUAGAGCGAGUUCAUCUGCACUCUCCCCAGGUUGGAUUCGAACCGGCAACCUUCAGGUCAGCAACCCACAUCCCUUCAAGUCAUCAGUCCUGCUGACACAUGGGUUUAUCCCACUGCACCACCGAGGGCUCCAGAAGGUAGACUGAUUGGAUGCAAUGACUAAUGAAGGAACUAUGAAACCUUUAUGUUAGUCUGUCAUGCAAAAACAUAACACAGAACAGUAAUUAAGCUGAAACACCAAGCAAGAUUCAACCAACUGCAAGCCAGAUAAUCUCUUCUUUUGUACUCUUUUCCUGAGUAUUUUGAGUUCUCUGGUUUUGUAUAUUCUGUUUUAAUGUCAAACAAAACACAUUAGCUAAAUGAAACGUUGUGAUACCAUAUCACUGAAAGGCUGUUAUUAUUAUAAUGUAAUAGCAAUGUGACAAAUAUGACACUUCAAGUAACACUAAAUUCAACCAAAAAUUAGCCUUAACAAAGAAUAUGACAUUAACUCUAUUUAAACAUCCUUAGGCAUGUGGAAUAUAUAUGUGUGUGUGUGUAGGUCUCAUCCCUCUCUCACACAUCAUAUCUUCUUAUGUCCCAUAAGUGAAUGGCAGCAUUUUGAACUGGAGCUUUCUUACCUAAACAGUAUAUCUUGGAGAUCUUCUACAUGAAAAACCAGGGUUCCAAAUAAUAUAGAAAGCCUAAAAUGCAACAGAGGCUCUUAUACUUUCUUUUUCUUCCAUGCAUAGGGAAUGCUGCAACUGGGAACACAAGAGUGCAUAGAGUGUGGUCAAAUGCUCAAUACUUCCCAGUGACAUUCACUUAAUUUGGAAAAAGAAUUCCUAAUAAUAUCAGGAUAGUAUUUUCCCAGGUUCUGUCAUUUGAGGAACACAUGGAUGAUAUUCUCGUGCUUCGUUUUGCUGUAAAACUUUAGAUGUGUUAUUUGGCGUAAAAAUAAAUAAUAGUUUUUAAAGAUUAUCUGCUUAUAUGAAAUAUAUUUGAACAUGUUUAUGGAUUUCACUCCAUAAUCUGACACUUUAUGAUGACUAAUCUUACUGGUCUCACUUUCAAACAUAAGAAAGGUUAAAGAAGUAUAAAAUAUGUUUUUAUUACAUUAUGUAGGCUCACUACACUCACCCAAACUAGAUGCUGCUGCUGCUGCUGCUGAUGAUGAUGAUGAUGAUAACUUUAUUUUUGUACACUGCCUCCAUCUCCCCAAGGGGACUUGGUGCUAACAUGGGGCCAAGCCCAGGUAAUUACAAUAUAACAAAAUAAAAUACAUACAUAACACACAUCAUCUGAUUAUCCAUUUUCUUCAAACUACAGCUGUUUACAACUAAUGCACAUGAUAUCCAAAUAAACCAUCACAAUCAAUAGAGAUACCUUUUAUACAUUAAAUUGUGCACACUUUGAACAAUUUUUUUUUAAAAAAACACCACCUUGUAUUUAUAUUAUAAUAAAGUGAACUGGAUCUUAAACCUUUCAUAUUGAGCAUAUAUUUUAUUUUCUCACAAGAACAGAAUAUUGCCUCCAUAUAACUGCAUGAAAUGUUGUGAUAUUGUAUAUCUUGAGCGUCUACAAAGUUUUAAGGGAAUAAAAAGGUUAGGUAUUCUUCGUUUUGACUUUGGCAAAAUUUAGCAGAAUCUGAAUGAGUCUGUAGAUUGUGUAAGCAAUUGCAAAACCUUUACCUCUUGUCUACAAUGUUAAUUACAAGUUGUAUUUCCAUUCUGAUACAUUAACUGUAGGUUGUAUACAUAAAAAACACAAGAACACAAGAUAUAUCAGUGAAAGAGACUACUUUAGUCAUAGUUUGACAGAAUAGUUCCUCUUGGUAAUUUUUAUUAUCCUAUUCUCUUCAUCUUCCCUGCUUCCCUUUCUUCCCUUUUCUUUCUCCUCCUCCUCAGUUUUCCUCAUAUACCUUGCCCAUUUUCCUCCCUCCCUCCUUCCUUUCUUUGUUUUUUUCCCCUCCAUUUCUCUCAUACAUUUUUCAUAUUAUUGUAUGUUGCAGGCGAAAAACAAGGAUUUCCCCUGCUUAUUAUUUUUUCAGGCAUCGGAUGAGGCACCAAUGAUGCAAUUAAAUAAAAAGUCUUAACAAUUGAUAUAUUGCUAUAGAAGGCAGUUACUUUGUUACAAGAAUAAUCCAUUCACAAAAGUCUAUAAACAUUAAGCUAUCUUUCAAACUAUUUAUUCUCAUAAUUCCAAGGACAUUUUAUAGGGUUACAGUUUUUUAAACACAAGAAAUGUUGCCAUGGCAAAGACUGUGUGUGUGUGUGUGUGUGUGUGUGUGUGUGUGUAGUAAUACUUGAUGUUUGAUAGGAUUCCAUCACUGUUUGUUGCAAUUCUUACCAGAGAUGGACAGACUUUGCCUUAUUUCCAAGCAAGUAGACAUUCAUUGACGUACCACUUCUAACGACCCUGCUCUGUUCCUAUAGUGACAAAAGGGUUGGUUUGUUUUUAAAGAAAAUGCCCAGUUUUCAAGAGGUUACUGCAACCUUGCCCCAUUACAAAAUGUCAGGAAUAGCAAAGAUGGAAGUUCUUUUCUAAACUGACUUUUUUUCCACAGUCAGAAUAAAAUCCAGAGCAUUUUCAUAUUACCCAGUAAUAAUGCUAUCAUUCCACUUUCAUUUUCAUGGUUCUAUUUUAUGGAAUCCUGAGAUUAGCAUGUUAGGGUGAGGCAUUAAGUCUCAGUGUGCAUCUUUACCUUCAUGUUUACUAUAAGCUUCUUGGGUGAAUCCACUCCAUAGCAGUUGCACAGUUCACAGAAAGAUGAGAGAUAAUGCAACCUCAAUAGAAGCCAUGGAAUACUCUGGAACUUCCCCAAAACUCUGGAAUAAUCCCCAAUGUAAAUGGGAUUUUGAUCUCGUAAGUCUUGAUGGUUGGUUAGAGGGAUGUGACUAAAUGAGUGGCUUUUACAAUGAAGGAAAUUAAGCAAAUAAUUUAUGGAGCAUGUACCUGCCAUUUGAAAUCACCAAAACAAAGCCUUCCUGCCAUUUGUUUUGGGAACUGAAGAAAACAAGGGUGAUAACCAGGGCAUAGUGAUGCAGGAGUGAUAAUGAUGGAGCAUCUGGGUUUUGUUAUGGGAACUAGUAUAUUCAGUGCUCUGGCACAUACAUUACCUUUGGAAGCCUCCAUCUUCAAAGACAGGCGAGG